rnacentral:rRNA from 1 species
GNGUAAAGNACAUNCAACUAACUGUAAGCGGGGAUAGCCCGUNGAAAGANGGAUUAAUAACCCUUNGAGAUGAGUGGAUGGCAUCAUUUAAUUCUUAAACAUUUAUGGUUUAACAGAUGGGCAUGCNUANGAUUAGAUAGUUGGUGAGNUAGCAGCUCACCAAGGCAAUNAUNUUUAGGGUUCUGAGAGGAAGAUCCCCCACACNGGUACUGAGAUACGGACCAGAGUCUNACGGGAGGCAGCANUAGGGAAUAUUGGGCAAUGGAGGCAACUNCGACNCAGCNAUACCGCGUGCAGGAAGAAGGCNUUUUGGGUUGUAAAACCCUUUUGGAAGGGAACGAAANGGCUGUGCGNCGCAAUUUGAGUGUACCUUCAGAAUAAGCACCGGCUAACUNCGUGCCAGCAGCCGCGGUAAUACGGAGGGUGCAAGCGUUGUCCGGAUUUAUUGGGUUUACAGGGUGCGUAGGCGGCUUAUUAAGUCCANGGGUGAAANAUUGCAGCUCAACCGUAGCAGUGCCUUUGAUUCUGAUGAGCUUGAGUACAGAUGAGGCCGGCGGAAUNGGUGGUGUAGCGGUGAAAUGCAUAGAUAC